ACAGAAAGGCAGUUCUGGUCACACCAGCAUUUAAAACAGCUCUUAUGUGACAGCUAGUCACUCUGUGGACAGUUGUACCAGAGACACACGGAGGUUAGACAGGUAUGAGACAGGAGGUUAGACAGUUAUGAGACAGGAGGUUAGACAGUUAUGAGACACACGGAGGUUAGACAGUUAUGAGACAGGAGGUUAGACAGGUAUGAGACAGGAGGUUAGACAGUUAUGAGACAGGACGUUAGACAGUUAUGAGACAGGAGGUUAGACAGGUAUGAGACAGGAGGUUAGACAGGUAUGAGACAGGAGGUUAGACAGGUAUGAGACAGGAGGUUAGACAGGUAUGAGACAGGAGGUUAGACAGGUAUGAGACAGGAGGUUA